AUGUUCACUGUUAUAUUCAUGUGUCUGUGGCUUUUACUAGGUGACUCCAUGGCGGAUUUAAUAAAGCCACUUUUCACUCAUAAAGUUGUAGAUGAAGGUGAUGAUGUUACUCUGUCCUGCAAAUAUGAAACAAGCAAAACACAAAGCAGUCUGCACUGGUACAGACAAUAUCCAGAAUCUAAACCUGAAUUCCUUCUUUAUAUUCUUCACAUUGGAGCUCCAAGUCCCAACCGUCCCCCAAGAAUGUUUGCUAAAGUUGAUGAUAAUAAUAAACAAGUGAAUCUGUUCAUCUCCUCUGCUGCUGUAUCAGACUCUGCUCUAUACUACUGUGCUCUGCAGCCCACAGUGACAGGAAAUCCAGCUGCACUGUACAAAAACUAA